rnacentral:misc_RNA from 1 species
ACUCCAUCCAUCAUGGCUGGCACUAGUUUCGCUUUGGUGUGUUGCGUUGUCGUGUUGCCUUCGGUAGCUGGUUAUUGGUGGUCCAAUCAGAACCAGAAUCUGAACAACAAUGUCAACGUAAACCCGGGGUUCUACGACCCCCCUCCCGCCCCGGCGCCGGAACCCCCCGCACCCGCACCAAAGAAAGUAGUACACGCCACCAAAGACACCGUGGUCAGCAUCAACUUCCACGCCCCUAUCAAGAACAAGUUUAUCCCCACCCUCAACAUCGGUGGUUUCGGAGGCGGUCCCGCCCCCAAGGCCCCUUCAGCUUCACCCAAGAAGAAGAAGACUCCUAAAUCCCCAAGAAAGGAAAGAGGCCAGAACCUAAAAAGAAGACCGCUGCUCCAAAGAAGAAGUCCAAGGCCCCCAAAUCAAAGGCCCCCAAGAGCUCCCCACCAAAGGGAUCUCCACCCAAAGGUUCUCCACCUAAGGGAUCCGGUGGCGCCGGACAUGGUCUACCCAUGAACCUUGUCUUCAACAACAACUUCCCCCAGAACAUGAUGAACGUUGUCGGAGCUCACAAUAACGUCAGAGGUAAAGGCGUUCACAUGCCCAACAACAACGCUGGAGGAACCCAAAAGGUCAAACAGACCUACAAAGCCACAGGUGGAAUUCAGACCCAGGGUGGAUACCAGGGAGGACAGCAAGGAGGCCAGCAAGGGGCACCUCAGCAGGGUGGCGGACAAGGAGGGAGCCAGGGUGGAUUUGGAAGGUGGGGUGGAUCUCAUUAUUCCAACAUCCACUCCGUCAAAUACCCGAGCAAUGACGUCCAAGUCAUCGGAAACGGAAACGAAGUCCACACAGUUGCCGGACUUUACAACAAUGUCAAGUACCAGAAGAAAGUGGCCCUCCGCCCAUGCAGGGAAUGCAGUUUAAACUUCUUCUGAACUUGCUCCAGAAGAUGGUUGUUAAAGUGAAUGCUCCACCAAAAACCACAACUACAACCACAACAGAGCCUACAACAACAACCACUACCACUGAAGCUACCACAACUCCAGCAGAAACCACCACAACCACCGAGGCGACCACAACCACCACCACCACACAGAGCCUACCACAACUACCACUGAAGCUACCACCACUACCACAGAGGCUACAACAACCACUACCACAGAGGCCCCAACCACUACAUUCCCUUAUAACCAAAUGUUGGAGAUCCUGCUAGCACAGAUGGCCUCUGGCUCCAACACACAGACACAGCAAGCCGCUGUUUUGGAUAUCAUGGGACGAGGAGGUCAGAAAGCGGUCUCCAUGAACGCCAACUCAGGUAGUCAACAGGCUACUCUGGACAUCUUUGGUGCUGCCCACAGCCCCAACAACCAUGGGACCAUACUUGGACCCAGUGGCUCAACUCGACCUCCUGGCUGCCGGUGGAUCCAUCUCUGGUGGCUCAUACGGCGGGUCUAGUUUUACCGCAGUCACCCCGCCACCUGCUGGUGCCGGCGCCGCCGGAUCAGCCGUGGAUCUGACUUGGCUGAACAAGUACAUGCCUCAACUGGCUCUCCACCAAAGGUCUCCAAUCAAGGUCAUCUCUGGUGGCAGUUACGGUAGCAGAAAGGCCGCCGUGUAGUGAGUGCAUUAACUAUCUGACUCUUAUACCGGUAUUGUUUUGCAAUUUGUGUCUCAGUCAAACCACCUCUAAAUCUAAUUUCUACGCAUUUCUGCCGGAGCCUUGUAUUUUAUCAGUAUUAUCUUUGUGACCAAUAAAGAACUUUUUCAUACUUUCGAUCAGACAGAGAUGUAUGAAAUCCGUCUUCUGGGACACGGUUGUGAUCAACUGCAGGAAUUUUGUGGUGUUCUUAAUGUUAUUUAUUUCAUUGUGUUUUUAUUGUCCUGUUGAUCUUGUACAAAUAAAGACUUUAGAGUU